GUCUUUAAAAUUAAAAAUUUUGGCGGUGUUUUAGUCUAUUCAGAGGAACUUGUUUUUGAAUUGAUAUUCCACGAUUUAAUUUACUUUAUUUUUAAGUUUAUAUAUCGUCGUAGUUAAAAUAUUUUAUAAUUUAAUGUUUUCAGAUCAAGGUGUAGUUUAUAGUAAAGUUAAAAUGAGUUACAAUAAGAAUUUAUAAUAAAUUGGAUUUGAAAGUAAGCUCUAAAAUAUGUACAUAUCGCCCGUCGCUUUCAUAUAAAGUGGAAUAAGUCGUAACAAAGUAGGCUUAUUGGAAAAUGAGCCUAGAAUGCAAAUUAGAGCUUGAUAAGCAUUUUAUUUACAUUAAAAAGUUAAUUGUGAAAUUCAAUUUAAUUUGAAUUUAAAAAUUUAUUUAUUUAAGAAAUUUUUUAAUUAUUUUAAAAGAAAUUAUGAUUUUAGUUAUAAAAUUAAAUAAUUUAAUUAUAGUGUAUAGUAUUGUGAAAGGAUAUUUGAAAAUAGUUUUAAGAAAAAUUAAUUUUUUGUACCUUGUGUAUCAGGGUUUAUUAAUUUAGAUUUCUCGAAUUUAGAAGAGUUAUUAUUAUUGUGGAAUAAAUAUAUAAAAUAUGUAAAUAGUAAUGAAAUGUUAUUCGUUUCUAAAUAUAUCUAGUUUUUUAAGAAAUAUAUUUAAUAGGUUUAAAUAAUAUAGUUAAGGGAUAAGCUUUGAAAAAUAUUUUUAUAAAGUAUUAAAAUUUAAAAAAUUAUAGGAUUAGAAUUUUUCAUUUUAAUAAGGAUGUUGUAAUUGAUGAUUUUAAAUUUUUUAUUAAAAAUUAAAUAUAAAUUUUUUGUAUUUAUUAAUAAUGAUAAAAUUAGUAAAAUUAAAAUAAGGAAUUCGGCAAAUAUUUUUUUUACCUGUUUACUAAAAACAUGUCUUUUAGAUUAUAAUUUAAAGUCUAGCCUGCUCAAUGAUUAAAUAGCCGCAGUAUUUUGACUGUGCAAAGGUAGCAUAAUCAUUAGUUUUUUAAUUGAAAGCUGGAAUGAAUGGUUUGAUAAGAAAAAAUCUGUCUCUAUAAUUUUAUUUUUAAGUAAGAAAGCUUAAAUUUUUUAAUAAGACGAGAAGACCCUAAAGAGUUUUUUUAUUGGGGUGAUAUAAAAAUUAAAUUAACUUUUUAUUUUUAUGAAUAAUUGAUCUUAGAUUAUAAGAAUAAAUUACCUU
rnacentral:rRNA from 1 species